ACAACUACUAUAGUUUUGUCAUCUGAAACCAUGGCCAAAGAAAUCCUCCAAACACAGGAUGCAAUAUCUUGUAACCGAACCGUUCCAGAUGCCCUUCGUGCCCUUCAACACCACGAAGCUGGAUUGCCUUGGAUGCCUGUUUCAACCACAUGGAAAAAUCUUAGGAAAAUCUGCAAUUUGCACAUUUUCGCUAGUAAGAAACUUGACGCUAACCAACACUUGCGGCGAAGCAAAGUAGAACAACUCCUUACUGAUGUUCGUGAUAGUUCCCGACUUGGGGAAGCGAUAGAGAUAUCCACAGCUGUUUUCAAAACUUCGCUUAAUCUUCUUUCCAAUACUGUUUUUUCCAUCGAUUUUGCCGACUCUUCUUC
rnacentral:lncRNA from 1 species